GAUUCGAGUGGGCCCUCUAGUUUUACAACCCCCUCUGGGGUAGCGGGCACCGAGGGGCAGGCGGAGGAAAGAUGGGAGUGAGCGGUGCUUCUUAUGCUUGGAAAUAUUCCAGAGUGUUGUGUCAGUCUUCCCCCGAAGGGAACUACGGUUCGAGGGGCAGUCUUCGCCGAAGUCACAGGUCGAGUUAGCUGCAAGCAGGCCCUAGAGCCUAAAGCUUGCGGGCCAGCCAGGAGUUAUAAACCCCUAUAUGCCCUGCGCGCUGCACCCGCAUUUACUGUACAAGAUUCUGGAGGGCUGGAGCCCGGCCUUUCCGCCUCCCCACCGACGCCUAGCACCGUAAGAGCAUGAAUGCUCCACACCAAGCAUGGAGCCCAAUAUGGGGCUCAAACUCACAACCCUGAGAUCAAGACACAUGCUGAGAUCAAGAGUCAGAUGCUUAACAACUGAGCCCCCCAGGCACCCCAGGAAUUACUGUUUCUGCUAAAGCCCCAGGAGCUAUCCAACCUGCUCAUCCCUUCUGCCACUCGUGUUCUGUGCAGGCUGCCCUGAACACACUGGCCCUGUGGCACCCACUGACCUGUAGAGAGAAAGGCAUCCCAUCCUGUGGACGAUCAUCCACCCAGACUGGGUGCAGAUGAUGGGCACUGUCAAUUUCUUUGUGGAACUGCGACUGCUUAAGGCACAGAAUAGUGUGGAAAAGCCUAGCAUCUGCCGUUUCCUGUCUCUUUUGAGAUACUUGCUCUUGGAACCCAGUCACCAUGCUUUAAGGAAGUCCAAGCCACCCUGUGGAGAGAAGCCGCAUGCAGCAGCAACUCGAAAGCCCCGUGAAUGAGUCAUCUUGGAAGUGGCUCUUCCAGCCCCAGCUGAUGCCACGUGGGGCAGAGGUCCUGGGCAAAAGGUUCCAAGACCAGCACAGAAUAGAGGACCCACAGAAGAAAAGACUGCCUUGACUUGGGUGUGCCAUGCUACCUAUGUGUGCAUGUGUGUGCAUGUGCUACAUACUACGUACUCAAAGCUGAUAGCUGGUCGGGGUGGAGGGCGGCACCUGGGUGGCUCAGUCGUUAAGCGUCUGCCUUCGGCUCGGGUCAUGAUCCCAGAGUCCUGGGAUCGAGCCCCUCAUUGGGCUCCCUGCUCCACAGGAAGCCUGCUUC